CGACGCUGCCGCGGAACCCCGGCUGGACGAAGCCGGCGCUGCGGGAGGAGCACGAGGAGGUGGCCACCGUGGUGGAGGAGCUCUACAUCGCCGCGAUGCUGCACGC
rnacentral:SRP_RNA from 1 species